rnacentral:rRNA from 1 species
AGUGAACGCUGGCGGCAGGCCUAACACAUGCAAGUCGAGCGGCAGCGCGGGGGCAACCCUGGCGGCGAGCGGCGGACGGGUGAGGAAUUCGUCGGAAUCUGCCUUUUUGUUGGGGAUAACGUAGUGAAACUUACGCUAAUACCGCAUACGUCCUACGGGAGAAAGUGUGGGACCGCAAGGCCUCACGCAGAAAGAUGAGCCGACGACCGAUUAGCUAGUUGGUGGGGUAAAGGCCCACCAAGGCGACGAUCGGUAGCUGGUCUGAGAGGAUGAUCAGCCACACUGGGACUGAGACACGGCCCAGACUCCUACGGGAGGCAGCAGUGGGGAAUAUUGGACAAUGGGCGCAAGCCUGAUCCAGCCAUGCCGCGUGUGUGAAGAAGGCCUUCGGGUUGUAAAGCACUUUUGUCCGGAAAGAAAACCCGGGAGCUAAUACCUUCGGGGGAUGACGGUACCGGAAGAAUAAGCACCGGCUAACUUCGUG